rnacentral:misc_RNA from 1 species
CGGUGAGAUAAAGAUGUGUCGUGUCAUGUCUAAUCACUGUACUUGCUCUCUAUGUACUUUGUUUUAGUCCGACUCAAUUUGAAACCUUUCGACUCUAUAUUCUAUUUUCGGACUCUAGGCUAUCGUUCACGUUGUUACAUGUCUCGUCAAUUAGUACAGUGAUAAGAAAUAAGACAACACAUUUUCUUCACACCGAGGACAUGACCCUAGAUUAAAAAAUAUAUAAAGG